rnacentral:misc_RNA from 1 species
AAGUCGUAACAAGGUAACCGUAGGUGAACCUGCGGUUGGAUCAUUAAAAAAUAUUUGGUCUCGUGCCAAAUCAACAUCUGUGUGCACCAUUGUCUGUCCUUGGCAGUUCGAGUUGCCAUCCCCUGAGCUCAACACUCCGGGGUUGGCCUACCUCCCGCCCCACCAGGUGGGGGGUUGGGCUGCCGCAUUUUUCUUUGAAAAACCUCUUGUUUUGCCUUUCUUUGCCUGAACGAAGAGUUAAUCUUUAUCGAUUAAUGAUUUGAAUACAACUUUUGACAACGGAUCUCUUGGCUCUC